UCAGCACCACCGAAUAGAAAAUGGAAUAAGUCUUCAUAUUGUUGAAUGUAGCAAUGAUAUUUCAGAGGUGAAUAUGCAGGGUUUUGAUAUGGUGAACUAGAGAAGCUGAGUUGGUUGUAAUUUGAAUUUACGAUGGAAGCAAGGAUGAAAGAAUUUUUGAAGUUAGCCUAUGACAACCUGAUGAACAGAAAGCCUAAGUUUUUUUAGAAAUGAGAGACGG
rnacentral:lncRNA from 1 species